UAAAGCCCUUUCAGUGGGAAGAUAAUGACGUUACCCACAGAAGAAGCUCCGGCUAACUCCGUGCCAGCAGCCGCGGUAAUACGGAGGGGGCAAGCGUUGUUCGGAAUUACUGGGCGUAAAGGGCGCGUAGGCGGUUUCACAAGUCAGGAGUGAAAAUUUCGGGCUCAACCCGGGACGUGCUUCUGAAACUGUGGGACUAGAGCACAGGAAGAGGGUGGUGGAAUUCCCCGUGUAGAGGUUCAAAUUCGUAGAUAUGGGGAGGAAGACC
rnacentral:rRNA from 1 species